GGGGAUUUAGCUCAGCGGCAUAAGCGCCUGCCUUGAAAGCAGGGAGUCAUGAGUUCGAUCCUCAGUACCG
rfam:Cavia porcellus supercont2_14 genomic scaffold, whole genome shotgun sequence.